AGACUUGGCAACAUAUCUUUGUAAAAGAUUCAAAACCAAAAUCUGCCUUUGGCUUAAAAGCCAAGGACGUUUGAAAACAGAAACGUUCUAUUUCAAACAAAAGCUUCAUUAUGAAGCAAUUUCGUCCAAACUUAACAAAUUAAGCAAAAUUUCGUUCAACAGUCAAAGAAGCAGGAGCUUCAUUCUUUUGCGUUCAACAUAUUUCAUAGAAGCAGAACUUCAUUUCAUUCAAAUAAUUCAAGUAACAGGUAUGUUAAGGCCCUCCCUUCUUUCUUUUGGCAUGGUCCAAAUUAUACUGAAGAAACGAGCAAACACACAGUUUCUAUAAAUUACUCUAUUCAUAGAAAUAGUAGGGGUGUCUAUAUUCUUGAUUCCCCAUGAGAAUUAUUAUUAUUUUCUGUUCAUGGAUCUCAAAAUAAUACGCAGUUGAAAAAGUUUAUCCGGAAGGAGUAUUGAGAUUAUUACGUAUUUUUCAUGCGUUUCACCCAUUUAUGUAUAUACAUUGACCCAUGACCAGAUAGUGUUAUAUACGCGUAUAUAUAUGUAAAUAUAUGUAUAUGGGAUAUGGGAAAUGGUUACGGCGUUAUAAACGCACCACCACCUGAUCAGUUGGCAUAUGUUGGCGAUGUUGCCCACAAUGGCCGAGAUGAUAUGAUGGGAUGCCCUCAGUGGCUUGAUGAUAUUAUGCGCACCCAUACCUAUGCAUGGCACGACAUUUAUACGCACGAGCAUGACAUUAUAAACGUUUCAGAAUUUACAAAGUUAUUCAGAGUUAAAGAUGUGUUUCCUUAUUCCAUGUUUUAUCUAUGUCUUUUACGUAGUAAUUUUUAUGCUUUACAUACUCAGUACAUUUUUCGUACUGACGCUCUAUUUCACGAGGCCUGUGUUUCAUGCCCGCAGGUGCAGGUAGGCAAGCUAACAGUCCCCCUUCUUAGGAUCCCUGAUCAGCGAGAGUUGUGUCGCGCUCCCUUUUUCUCGCGAAAUCAGGUUUAUGACAUUUGGAAGGAUAACUCAUUCCUUUUGGGAACUGGGUUUUUUACAUUUGAAGAGUCGCCACCUAAUGAUUAAGGUGUAUUAGGACACCAAUAGAGAUUCAAUUCUAAGUUUGUUUAGGUAACCAGAGAUUGGGUAAGGGCUUGAAAUUAUCCCAAGGGAAGGUGUUAGGCACCCCUUAGGAUCUACUAGUGUGGUUUCCGGCCAGACGGUUAUUGUGAAUUUGGGGUGCAAUUAACAUAUAAGCAGAUAAGGCUCAAAUAAGAGGGGAUUUCAAUGCACAAUAGUUUGAAAGUAAACAAAGUUUGAAAGAGCAAUUAAAAGAGCUGAAUUUAAAUAAGGAGUUAUAAUGCUUAAAAAAAGAAGGGGGAAAUAAAGAAAGGGGUCCUAGGUUUACAAAAAAUAUGGAUCACAUCAAUGCAAUACCCGGUAAUCACUCCUCAAAAGAGGGGUUACACGUGGCAUUAGCGUACCGGUCAUCUUAUCCGUAUCUACCCUUCCUACCCUGUUAAGGUAUUACAAUGCGGAUUGGUCGCUUACUAUUGCAUGCUAUUACCCGUCUCAUUCCUAUCAGUCCUGGAGGCACUUAGGACUACUAUACCUAAAGGGAGAAGAUAUUAUGGUGAUUGGUUUCAAAGGAUAAAAAUCUAAGGCGACAUACAAAAACAGAUAAUAUGGCAUAUAAAGGGGAAGCAUGUAAAUAGACAAAAGGCUCAUGUAUACCUCCUCAAAGCAAAAGCACAUAACUAGCAUGACUUGCACAUACUUUUUAGGUCUGAUUUAAAGCACAUAAAGACGGGGGAAGUUAAUUGUUGAGGCAGAUUAGUUUAUUACAUAACUCAGAUAAGAAGUCCGAAUCAGGCCUGCCUGCUGGUUGUAACAAUUAACAAAGGCGGAUUCAAUUUUACAAUUAUUAUUCUAAAUCUUGCCUAAGUGUUUAAACGGGAUCCUAUAGGCAUGAUAUCUACUUAAUUCAGAAGGUGGUGAAACAGUGAUAACUCAAAAUGUACUGCUUGAAAUCCUAUAGGAAUGCUUUCUAAACCUUGUUAAAACUAAGGAACUAUUAAACAGAGGUUUAAAUUAGACUAGUUCCAAAUUUUGCAGAUGAUGGUAUCUACUAUUACUGACUCUAAUCCACAUGGGCAUGAUAUCUAAUAUUGAAUGUGAAUGGAACGACUCAAAUUUAUUUAAGAACCCCUAUAGUCAUGAUUUCUAUGUGUUACUGAUUUCAACAUUCUACUGGGUUAUAACCAAUUGGGCCCUAAAAAAAUAUGAUAUCUAAACGGUGACAAAUGUGCAGAAUUUUAGAUAAUCCCUAUAGGCAGGUUAUCUAGAUGUGAUGUUGAACAAGUAAGUCCUAUAGACAUGGUUUCUAAAUGUAAUGUGAAUAUGCAGAAUUGGAGCAGUCCUAUAGGCAUGUUUUCUAAAUGCGAUUUGAACAAGUAGAGAAUACAGUCUUAUAGGCAUGUUUUCUACCCUUGAUCAUGCAUAAUUUCCCAACCCUUUUUUCACUAGCCAGCCCCAAAUGUUCAUUACAAAUUAUUACAAACCGGGAAUAAUAAAUUAUAUUAGAAAAAGUACAAAGAAAAGUUACAACCAGAGGAAGCCUGAUUCUUGACUUUCUCUUUGAGUUAUGAGAUAAACCAACUCAAAAUACCAUUGAUCCAAAGCCUUUCUCAGCCUUGAGUGUGUCAGAGUUCCCUAAGGGCCUCAAUAGGACCCCGGGCAGUACUCACACCUAAGUUCCAUAACCAGAAUAGGGACAAGUGCAGUGUGGAAAUGUCAGCCCUCAUGUGCUCAAGUUCAGAGGGAGCUCAUAGGUCCCAAGGCAAGGCUCACAUGAGGGGGGCAAAACUUAAGUCUAAGAAGAGAGUGAAAAGUGCAGAAACUGAGUUCUAAGAGAUGGAAUAAAGGAGAGGGAAAGGGUGAGGGGAGUCGGCCAUUAACACUUCAAAGAAUUAAUAACUUCACACAAAUGGGCAGGGGAUUGGGAAUCCAUUGCAAGGGGGCAUAUAUACUUAGGCAUGAGUUAAUUCUGGGCAUUCACAACAAUAAGGAGUGUUGUCAUGCUUGUAAAUCAACCAGAACACACUACAUAUAAGGGUAACAUGGAGGUUAUGAUCCUAGGAGGAUCAAGUUUGGGUCAUGCUCCGCAAUAUUCAAUGUUGUCAUGCCCCCAAACUAACCACAAGUAUUAAUCACAUCGGGGUAGGGAUUUGGGAUUCAUAAUACAUUGAUUCAAAACAGGAUAAAGGAAAUUACAACAUGCUAAAUAAUGGUACUGAAUUAAAUACAAGCAGUAGGUAGACAAGAAUGCAAAAUCAGUAAGUAAGCAUGUUGUUGUUGGUGCUGAGAAUUUAAUUAGAACAUACCAGUCAAAGAAGCAAAGUGUAGUAAAGAAAAGUAGCAGGACUUCGAAAUAUAGCCUUGGCUUUCAUCCGGCUAAACAGGAAGUAGCACAAGUAGUAGUAAAGCAAGAGAGAGUGUUUGAGUGUAAGUAUGAGUUCAGAACUAAAAGUGUUCUUAUUUUUGAAAGAGAAGAAGUAAUGGGUAUUUAUAGUUUUUUGAAAACGAGUAAGAAAGAGGUAAUAAGCUACAAACAUGGAAACAAUCAUGAUUCAAAAUCAAUUAUACAAGUGAUUGCCCUUAAUUAUGGGGUCACUUGCUUAACGGGCAGUGACAGGUUCGAAAUAAGGAAAGCAAUCAAUUAAAAAACAGGCUGAAAGUUGCCAUAAAAAAAGUAGUAAAAUAACAAGUAAGCAAUUCGAGUCUAGGUAUAGAGAUACUCUAAUUUUGGAAAGGAUUUAGUAAGGCAAAACCGGAAAGAAAUCAAUUAACCUUAAUAGGCAAGUGAAAUCACAAUCUCACAAAGGAAAAGUUUAAACUUAGUCACGAGUUUGAAAAUUAGUCAAAGAAGGAGACUCAACAUAUAAAUAAGGUGCAUAAACAUUAUAAAUGCGAGGCUAGGCUAGGCCUGUUGGCAAGAAGAAAUAGCACACAACAGUAGCACAGAGAUUCAGUAGAUAGCAACAUUCGAAGCAUGACAGUCCAGUAGGACAAGUAGUGAAGAAAACAUAGAAUAUCAAAAGCAUGCGAAGGUCUCACAGUAGCAGGUGAGGAAAACCCCUUAGGGUUUCGAGCAUAUUUGAGUUUUAGAGAAGAUAGAAACCCAGCAAUCAGAAGAAUCACACAAAGGGAGCAAAAGAUUUUGAAAUAAAGAACUUCAAAUCGAGUCAUGCACUUAAACGAACAGUCUCAGACCCAAAACCCUGAGAUUUUCAACAAUAUGAGAGUUUUAAAAGAAAAUAAGCAAACAAAUCGGACAAAACUCAGGCAAACAAACAUUUGUUUAGUAAACAGUUAAAAGAAAUUGGGGGUUUUAACAUGCAAACUCAGGUAGAAGAACGAUAUAAGCAAACAUAGCCAAACAUGUCAAAGAAUCAAAGAAACAUUUUGAAAUAACUUAACAAAAACCCUAAUCGGAAAGAUAAGGGGUUUUGAAAGCAGAGUUUAAAAGAAAAUUUGAGAAAAACACUUAGAAGUUCAGAACAAACAUAGAUCUGAAACAAAUCUAAAAAGAAAUCGAAGGAACCUUAAAGGCUAAGGUUUCUAAGGUUUCAGAAGAACCCCAAGUGGUGAGAAUGGCUUUGAAAACCAACAAUCUAAGUAUGAGAGUCAAGAGUCUGACUCGAAUAGCCAUGGCUGGCUGGAGAAAAAAGUCGGAGACGACCGAAGAACAGUCACGAACUGCAAUCGAACAAGCCUGGACCAAGCUCUUUUGAUAUAGCCUCGAGACCAUAAUAAUCAAGCACAUAGAAGCCAUGGGAGGUGGAUAUAGGUCACCGAUAACUUUGGGAACCAUAGAUUUGGGGAGGUAUUAGGGUUGAAGUUGAUGGUGGCUAGGGUUUGAGAGGAUUUGAGAGAGAGUUGAGAGAGAAGAGGAUUCAGAGGUGGCAGAAUUUGGAAAUGAGGCUAGGGUUAGGGGUUGUUUGAAUUAAAAAGGCAAGGAUGGUUGUUGGCCGUUGAUCUGAAUAAUCAACGGCCUGGAUCAAAAUGGGCGAGUGGGCGGGUUAUGAAUUGGGCUAACAUUUAAAUAGCCAAUUUUCCCUAUUUAAUUACAAAAAAUAAUAAAUUAAUUUCUGAAAAUAGAUUAAAGGUACCAAAAUGAUUUAUAGCACAAAAUUAACUAUUUAAAAAUACCAGAACUAAUUUUUAUGAAUAUAAAUGUAAUUAAUCUUAAAAGAGGCUAAUGUUGUAAUUAUAUACAAUUUAACUUUAAAAAUACUAAAUGACUUUGUAAAAAUAUGCAAAAAUUAUAUUACCUAUAUUUUAGCAUAAAUAUAAGAAUCCAAUAAAUGAAUCACCAAAAUUAUAAUUUUGGAAAUAAUUAUUGGGUUUUAUGGAUAAAAUAGGCAAUAAAUCGAUUUAAAAAUCAUUAAAAAUUAAGAAAAAAUAAUAAAACAUUUGGACAUACUUAUAUAUGCAUACAUAUGAUAUUUCGAAAGUAUUUUGCAUAUUAAAUUAUACAGGAAAAAACUGGGUAUCAACAAGUUGGCGUGCUCCACUUGAUCCGGAGCUGCUUUGAUUUUGGUACGAUACGUUUGUGUAUAUAUAUGUAUAUGGGUAUGAUGUGGCUCAGUCCCGUCUUUGUACAGUUAUAUCUCUAUUAGAGGUCUGUAGACAGUAUGUCCAGUUGGGUUGCAUGUGGCCUUGUCGGCUUUCAGUUUUGGAUGUAUAGUUGUCUAUAGCAGCCUUGUCACCUAUGAAGGGUGUGAUGAGGUUUGGCAAGAAAGGAAAACCUAGCCCACGAUAUAUUGGGCCUUAUAGGAUCAUUCGGAGAGUGGGCCAAGUAGCUUAUGAGUUAGAAUUGCCCUCGGAAUUGGAGUCUGUCCAUCCGAUUUUUCACGUAUCUAUGCUACGAAAGUGCAUUGGCAAUCCUACCCGAGUGGUGCCCAAAAAUGAUGUACAGAUUACAGAAAACUUAUCAUACGAGGAAGUUCCAGUUGCCAUCCUAAAUCGACAAAUCCGUAAAUUGCAAAAUAAGGAGGUAGCCUCCGUGAAAGUACUUUAGAGGAACAAUAAUGUGGAAGAAAUAACUUGGGAGGCUGAGGAAAACAUAAAGUCUAGAUAUCCCUACUUAUUUCCUCCUCCAUAAAAGGUUCCGACGAAGACAUCAUAACCAUAAGGUACAUGUAUAAAUUCUUGUGUUGGUUAUUAUCGUUGGUCAUGUGAGGCCAUUGUCGUUAUUCAUAAUUAUGAUCUGGUGUGGCGUUGGAUUAUUAAGGUUUUACAGGGAGAGUUGGUAGUAGUGUUGGUACAAAGGCGACGCUGCCAAAGUUAUAUGGAUCACGGGGAGUUGAACAUUCGAGGACGAAUGUUUCUAAGGGGGGAAGGAUGUAGAAGGAUGCUACAUCUCGCGUUUUCCGUACAUUUAAAUUUUGUUUUCAAUUAACCGACGUAGACUCGGGGAUGAGAUCAUCUUGACGUUAACAUACUUACGAUAUUUAUAACAAGCGAUAAAUAAGUAUUAUGAAGGAUAAAGGGGUACACGGAUUAAAGAAAACGUGUUUCGUUGAAAGUGGCCAAUUUGAAUAAAAUACGGGUCGAGCGAUAAUACUCGAUAAUUAUGAACUAGUACCACGCAAGGUACCAUAUGACCAUGGUAGCAUAAUAUAUAAAGUAUUUUAAAAAUAAAUAGAAUUUUAAGUAAUUUAGGGCAAUUUUUAAAUUAUACGGGUAAUUGAUUAAUUACCGAGUAACGAGAUAUUACCCGAUUAGCUAAUACAUGAAUAAAAAUUUAAUAAUUUACACCCCCACGUGGCAGCCCUCUCUACCAAAAACAAUGACUCUUUAGUCUACUAUCCUAGGUGGCAACUUAAUGUCUUGGAUGGAAAACACUUUUUAUAACCAAGGUGAUAAUCCAUUAGCCUUUUUCUGAUUUUGUCAAUAUCCACAAGACUUGGCAACUUAUCUUUGUAAAAGAUUCAAAACCAAAAUCUGCCUUUGGCUUAAAAGCCAAGAACCAUGAAAGCAGAAACGUUCCAUUUCAAACAAAAGCUUCAUUAUGAAGCAACUUCGUCCAUAAGUAAAUUAAGCAAAAUUUCGUUCAACAAUCAAAGAAGCAGGAGCUUCAUUUUUUUGCGUUCAAUAUUUUUCAUAGAAGCAGAACUUCAUUUCAUUCAAAUAAUUCAAGGAACAUGUAUGUUAAGGUCUUUCCUUCUUUCUUUUGGCAUGGUCCAAAUUAUACUGAAGAAACGAGCAAACACAAAGUUUCUAUAAAUUACUCUAUUCAUAGAAAUAGUAGGGGUGUCUAUAUUUUUGAUUCCCCAUGAGAAUUAUUAUUAUUUUCUGUUCAUGGGUCUCAGAAUAAUACGCGGUUGGAAAAGUUUAUCCGGAAGAAAUAUUAAUAUUAUUACGUAUUUUUCAUGCAUUUCACCAAUUUAUGCAUAUACAUUGACUCAUGACCAGAUGGUGUUAUAUACGCGUAUAUAUAUAUGGGAUAUGGGAAAUGGUUACGACAUUAUAUACGCACCACCACCUGAUCAGCUGGUAUAUGCUGACGAUGUUGUCCACAGUGGCCGAGAUGAUAUGAUGGAAUGCCCUCAGUGGCUUGAUGCUAUUAUGUACACUUAUACCUAUGCAUGACAUGACAUUUUUACACACGAGCAUGACAUUAUAAAUGUUUCAGAAUUUACAAAGUUAUUUAGAUUUAAAGAUAUGUUUCCUUAUUCCAUGUUUCAUCUAUGUCUUUUACGCACUAAUUUUCAUAGCUUACAUACUCAGUACAUUUUUCGUACUAACGCCCUAUUUCACAGGGCCUGCUUUUCAUGUCUGCAGGUGCAGGUAGGCAAGCUGACGGUCCCCCUUCUUAGGAUCCCUGAUUAGCGAGAGUUGACGUGCUCCACUUGAUCCGGAGCUUCUUUGAUUUUGGUACAAUAUGUUUGUGUAUAUAUAUGUAUAUGGAUAUGACGUGGCUCAAUCCCGUCUUUAUACAAUUAUGUUUCUAUUAGAGGUCUGUAGACAAUAUGUCUAGUUGGGUUGUAUGUGACCUUGUCGACUUUCAGUUUUGGAUGUAUAGUUGUCUAUAGCAGCCUUGCCAGUUCGCC
rnacentral:lncRNA from 1 species